CAAAGUUUUGGUCCUAAACUUGCCGUUGUUUUUUACCAAAAUUAUACAUGCAAGCCUCCACACACCAGUGAGAAUGCCCUUAUACCCCAGACAGCUAACCGGAGCAGGCAUCAGGAUUCAAUACUUUUAUUGGCCAAAAACGCCUUGCUUAUGCCACACCCACACGGGUUUUCAGCAGUAAUUAACCUUAAAAAUAAGCGAAAGCUUGACCUAGUUAUGGUAAAUAUGACCGGUAAAUUUCGUGCCAGCCACCGCGGUUAUACGAAAGAUCAAGAACAACGACCCUCGGCGUAAAGCGUGAUUAGAGAUUGAACUCGCCCUUAGAGAAGAACAUUUACCAAGUCGUAAAACACUACUGCACCUAGAAUGACAACCUAUCUUUAAGCUUAUUAUUAUCUUACCUCACGAAAGCUAAGAAACAAACUGGGAUUAGAUACCCCACUAUGCUUAGCCCUUAACAACGAUUUAACUUUCACAAUGCUAUCCGCCAGAGAACUACAAGCGAAAAGCUAAAAACUCCAAGGACUUGGCGGUGCUUCAAACCAACCUAGAGGAGCCUGUCCUAUAAUCGAUACCCCACGCUCAACCUUACCCCCUUUAGCUUAACAGCCUAUAUACCGCCGUCGUCAGCUUACCUUAUGAAAGAAGUAGAGUAAGCAGAAUAGUCAACAACUAGCACGUCAGGUCAAGGUGUAGCAUAUGAGGCGGCAGAGAUGGGCUACAUUUUCCCUAAAUGAACACACGAAUAAGGUGUUGAAACACAUAUUUAAAGGCGGAUUUAGUAGUAAAAUAGACAAGAAAACCUAUCUUAAACCUGCUCUGAAGCGCGCACACACCGCCCGUCACCCUCAUCACCCACCCCACAAUUAAACAUAUUAAUAAAACACACCCAUAGAUGAGGCAAGUCGUAACAUGGUAAGCGCACUGGAAAGUGUGCUUGGAAU
rnacentral:ncRNA from 1 species